AGCAGCCGCGGUAAUUCCAGCUCCAAUAGCGUAUAUUAAGGUUGUUGCAGUUAAAAAGCUCGUAGUUGAAUUUCGGGGUUCUACCGUUGGUCAGGCUAUUGUUUGUACUGGCGUGUAGAAUUUCUACCUUCUGGGGAACUAUCAUGUUAUUAAUUUAGCGUGGUAGGAAACCAGGACCUUUACCUUGAAAAAAUUAGAGUGUUCAAAGCAGGCUUAUGUCUGAAUACAUUAGCAUGGAAUAAUAAAAUAGGACGGUGGUCCUGUUUUGUUGGUUUCUGAAUCACCGUAAUGAUUAAUAGGGAUAGUUGGGGGCAUUAGUAUUCAAUUGUCAGAGGUGAAAUUCUUGGAUUUAUUGAAGACUAACUACUGCGAAAGCAUUUGCCAAGGAUGUUUUCAUUAAUCAAGAACGAAAGUUAGGGGAUCGAAGACGAUCAGAUACCGUCGUAGUCUUAACCAUAAACUAUGCCGACUAGGGAUCGGACGAUGUUAACUUUUCUUGACUCG
rnacentral:rRNA from 1 species